GACGAACGCUGGCGGCGUGCUUAACACAUGCAAGUCGAACGAUGAAGGAGGAGCUUGCUCCUCCGGAUUAGUGGCGAACGGGUGAGUAAUACGUGAGCAAUGUGCCCUUGACUCUGGGAUAAGCGCUGGAAACGGCGUCUAAUACCGGAUACGACGACCGGAGGCAUCUCCUGGUCGUGGAAAGAACUUCGGUCCAGGAUGAGCUCGCGGCCUAUCAGGUAGUUGGUGAGGUAACGGCUCACCAAGCCUACGACGGGUAGCCGGCCUGAGAGGGUGACCGGCCACACUGGGACUGAGACACGGCCCAGACUCCUACGGGAGGCAGCAGUGGGGAAUAUUGCACAAUGGGCGCAAGCCUGAUGCAGCAACGCCGCGUGAGGGACGACGGCCUUCGGGUUGUAAACCUCUUUUAGCAGGGAAGAAGCGAAAGUGACGGUACCUGCAGAAAAAGCACCGGCUAACUACGUGCCAGCAGCCGCCGUAACAC
rnacentral:rRNA from 1 species